UCUGGGUGCAUAGUACAAGAACUCAAAUUGGAGAUGUUUGAUGCUUAUGGAAAUCAUGCUUUGAAGGGCUCUGAACUUCUUUUGAAGGUUGAGGGAUUUUCCCUUAAAGAUCAGAUGGGUAAAAAGCACAAGGUGGAUCAUGAUGGAUUUGUUCAUCUCAGUGGCAUGUUGAAAGUUACUGCAGGUUACAAUCAAAAUGUAUCGCUGUCUGUUACAACCGGCGGUGAAGAAAUAUUCAAGG